UGAUUUAUAUGUUUAUUUUUUACUUGUUUGAAUGACAUGGAUAUUUGUUUUACAAAAUAUUAUGUAAUAUAUAAAUAUAUUAAUUAUUAAAUAUUAUAAUAAUUUUAGGGAACAUGAGGCUAUCGCCUAAGCAAGGCUAUCCAUGAAACGCCUUGGCAUUGCCUUCACCUUUUGAACAUUGAUCCGUAGUCAGGCAUCAUGUAACGCCCUGCCCCGAAAUAUUUAUUUCGGAAAUUAAUAUCGGUGAUAGGCCCAAACUAAACUCUUGUUUAUUUUACUACCAUUAAUCGCGAUCCUUUAAUUAAAUUCCUUAAUUCCACACAUGAUCUAUAACCAUAAUUCUCGUACCAAAACAUACAAUUAUAUUCUCAAUUAUUUAACCUCGUUUAUUUUAUGAGUACAUCUAACUUCUCGUUAGACUGCCUACGUACCCUUCAGAGGGAUUAAGUUAUUCGUAGUUCACAUUCACUUUACUAAAAGAUAAUUGAACACACAUAUAACACAAUCAUCAUCAUCAUCAGUACAUAAGCCAAAUCAUGUUUAAUAAUCAUAGGUCUAUGGCUAAACAUAUAAAAAUUACAUUUCAAUAGAAAUCAUAUUCAUAAAACCAAGUCAUAUUUACAAAUGAUAUUAAUAUAAGAAAGUAAGGUAAUAACCAUCUCACAUAUAUUCAAGUCACUCUCUAACUGAUGUAGACCUCCCAGACUUCACUUAGUCUCCCGUAGUACUAAUUUUAGUAUUUAGAACGUUUCG
rnacentral:lncRNA from 1 species